GGGAUUGCCCUAGUAACGGCGAGUGAAGCGGCAACAGCUCAAAUUUGAAAUCUGGCUCUUUUAGGGUCCGAGUUGUAAUUUGCAGAGGGCGCUUUGGCUUUGGCAGCGGUCCAAGUUCCUUGGAACAGGACGUCACAGAGGGUGAGAAUCCCGUACGUGGUCGCUAGCUAUUGCCGUGUAAAGCCCCUUCGACGAGUCGAGUUGUUUGGGAAUGCAGCUCUAAAUGGGAGGUAAAUUUCUUCUAAAGCUAAAUAUUGGCCAGAGACCGAUAGCGCACAAGUAGAGUGAUCGAAAGAUGAAAAGCACUUUGGAAAGAGAGUCAAACAGCACGUGAAAUUGUUGAAAGGGAAGCGCUUGCAGCCAGACUUGCUUGCAGUUGCUCAUCCGGGCUUUUGCCCGGUGCACUCUUCUGUAGGCAGGCCAGCAUCAGUUUGGGCGGUGGGAUAAAGGUCUCUGACACGUUCCUUCCUUCGGGUUGGCCAUAUAGGGGAGACGUCAUACCACCAGCCUGGACUGAGGUCCGCGCAUCUGCUAGGAUGCUGGCGUAAUGGCUGUAAGCGGCCCGUCUUGAAACACGGACCAAGGAGUCUAACAUCUAUGCGAGUGUUUGGGUGUCAAGCCCGAGCGCGUAAUGAAAGUGAACGGAGGUGGGAACCCGCAAGGGCGCACCAUCGACCGAUCCUGAAGUUUACGGAAGGAUUUGAGUAAGAGCAUGGCUGUUGGGACCCGAAAGAUGGUGAACUAUGCUUGAAUAGGGUGAAGCCAGAGGAAACUCUGGUGGAGGCUCGCAGCGGUUCUGACGUGCAAAUCGAUCGUCAAAUUUGGGCAUAGGGGCGAAAGACUAAUC
rnacentral:rRNA from 1 species